GGGUGGUGUGUGUGUGUAGCACUUAAUUGCAUGCGGAAAGGAAAAGAUACUUUUGAUGACCGAGAGGCAGCUUUUCUCUGCUUUUGUAUCAAAAGAGAAGAAGGGAGUUUGGAGAGGGAAAGGAAUUCUGUUCAAUACUAAGCUCUCUUCCUCAAAAUCAGAGGUACAUAGAAUGUGUAAUAAUUUACAGAAUUUCUAGACUUCCGCAAUCUGAUUUUUUAAAAUUUAUUUUUAUUUUUUCAGGUCGAGGCUGAGCUGGAGUUAAUCUGUGGCGACAUGCUGGAGGUACUAGACAAACACCUCAUUCCAGCAGCUACCACUGCCCCCAUUCACUGGGGAGAAUGGAAAGAAAACAACUGACAACAUCCUCAAAUGUAAACUCAAUUUGCCUCCCUACCUCACACAAGAAGCCAGAGAUCUGCUUAAAAAGGCUCAUCCAUUCUUUAGACACAUUAACUGGGAAGAACUUCUGGCUGGAAAGGUGGAGCCCCCCAUUUAAACCUCUGUUGCAAUCUGAAGAGGAUGUAGGUCAGUUGGAUUCCGAGUCUACACAUCAGACACCUGUCGACAGCCCAGAUGAUUCAACUCUCAGUGAAAGUGCCAAUCAGGUCUUUCCGUUGAGACUGAGGUAAAGUUAAUCUGAGGCGACGUUCUGGAUGUACUGAACAGACACCUCACUCCAGCAGCUACCACUGGCAAGUCCAAGGUUUUCUAUUAUGAAAUGUAGGUUCUACACUAACAAUUAACAAGUGUACUUCAAUAAUUUUAAACACUCUCAGGAAUAAUUGACUUUGUUUCUUUUUUAUUUCUGAGCCAUUUCAUAUUAUUUUCCUUAUUAAAUGCAACCAAAAAUCCCACUGAAAUUAAGUGAGGAGCAUCUAAAUAUUGAAAAAAUUAUCACUUGAUAGACUAGAAUUAAACAAGCAGGUGGUUCCAAGAAAUGGCACAAGUGUAUUAAUCACAAAAUAAACUUUCUACAUGAAACAUUCAGCCAGCACUGUGCAAUGUGUGGUCGUUUGAGGGAGGGGAAUGAGAAAGGUCCCAUGAAAGCAAAAGAAUAUAAAUAACUAAAGCGGCCGGGCGCGGUGGCUCAAGCCUGUAAUCCCAGCACUUUGGGAGGCUGAGACGGGCGGAUCACGAGGUCAGGAGAUCGAGACCAUCCUGGCUAACACAGUGAAACCCCGUCUCUACUAAAAAAUACAAAAAACUAGCCGGGCGAGGUGGCGGGUGCCUGUAGUCCCAGCUACUCGGGAGGCUGAGACAGGAGAAUGGCGUAAACCCAGGAGGCGGAGCUUGCAGUGAGCUGAAAUCCCGCAACUGCACUCCAGCCUGGGCGACAGAGCGAGACUCCGUCUCAAAAAAUAAAUAAAUAAAUAAAUAAAUAAUAAAUAAAUAAAUAAAGCAAAAGCUAAUGCAUUUUUAUAACAGCCUGACCAUCUUUUGAUUCCAACAUCAA
rnacentral:lncRNA from 1 species